CACAGAGUUGAAACCAAGGCACAGGAGAUGUUUACACAAAGAAUUGUUACUACUGAGAGCUCUAGUAUAAAAUACGAAAAGCCAUAGAAAUGUGAAUCACUUUGCGGAGACAAGGCAAUAUGACAAUGGACAAUGAGGAUAGUCUGAUUUAGUGCAAAGCAAUCAGAAUUCAGUGGCAAGGUAUAAUUACAUUUGGAUUUUCUAGCAUCAAGCCAGUAACGGCAGAACCUUUGUUGAUCCUCCACUUAAACAAGACUAGAGACCCAACACAGAUUUAUAAUGACUUUGUAGCUGAAAGAUGUUUCAAUAAUGUAUAAUGAUGGCAAUUUCAUCAGGAAAAUAUUGAUAAUACCCAAGGAAAAUACAUCUCUCUGUUUUGCAA